rnacentral:rRNA from 1 species
GACGAACGCUGGCGGCGUGCUUAACACACGCAAGUCGAACGGAAAGGCCCUGCUUUUGUGGGGUGCUCGAGUGGCGAACGGGUGAGUAACACGUGAGUAACCUGCCCUUGACUUUGGGAUAACUUCAGGAAACUGGGGCUAAUACCGGAUAGGAGCUCCUGCUGCAUGGUGGGGGUUGGAAAGUUUCGGCGGUUGGGGAUGGACUCGCGGCUUAUCAGCUUGUUGGUGGGGUAGUGGCUUACCAAGGCUUUGACGGGUAGCCGGCCUGAGAGGGUGACCGGCCACAUUGGGACUGAGAUACGGCCCAGACUCCUACGGGAGGCAGCAGUGGGGAAUAUUGCACAAUGGGCGGAAGCUUGAUGCAGCAACGCCGCGUGCGGGAUGACGGCCUUCGGGUUGUAAACCGCUUUCGCCUGUGACGAAGCGUGAGUGACGGUAAUGGGUAAAGAAGCACCGGCUAACUACGUG